rnacentral:lncRNA from 1 species
GCGUAUGAUUGUUGAUAAUGGCAAAAAUUAGGCAAAUUAACUAAUAAUAUGCCAAACGAUUGUUGCGUUUUAACUCUGCAAUGCCAGUAAACCUAUGCGGUAAUGAUACAAAAUAUCUUUCCUGCAAGCAAACCAGUGUUGUAUUCGUGUACUUAAGAUUCAUGCGAACAGCUUAUUUGUACUAAACUUUGUUCCUUGAACAAGCUUGUUUG